UACGGAGGGGGCUAGCGUUGUUCGGAAUUACUGGGCGUAAAGCGCACGUAGGCGGCUUUGUAAGUCAGUUGUGAAAUCCCUGAGCUCAACUUGGGAACUGCAUCUGAAACUACAAAUCUUGAAUAUCUCAGAGGUUGGUGGAAUUCCUGGUGUAGGAGUGAAAUCCGUAGAUAUCAGGAGGAACACGUCGGAGCGAAGGCGGGC
rnacentral:rRNA from 1 species